UAAUACGAAGGGGGCUAGCGUUGCUCGGAAUCACUGGGCGUAAAGCGCACGUAGGCGGCUUUUUAAGUCAGGGGUGAAAUCCUGGAGCUCAACUCCAGAACUGCCUUUGAUACUGAGAAGCUUGAGUCCGGGAGAGGUGAGUGGAACUGCGAGUGUAGAGGUGAAAUUCGUAGAUAUUCGCAAGAACACCAGUG
rnacentral:rRNA from 1 species